CAAGGCGUCUUAUGAGAGAUUCAAUAGAGAAUCCGGUGCAAAUCCGGAACGGUCCCGCCGCUAUAAACGGGAGUCUGCAGGCAUAUCCAUUGGAGAAAUCUGAGAAGGGUUUGCAGAUGAUGAACGUAAGCCAGAAGAACUACCCUGAUUGA
rnacentral:ncRNA from 1 species